CUUGGUCAUUUAGAGGAAGUAAAAGUCGUAACAAGGUUUCCGUAGGUGAACCUGCGGAAGGAUCAUUCAUAAUAAGUGUUUUAUGGCACUUUUUAAAUCCAUAUCCACCUUGUGUGCAAUGUCAGUCGAUCUUCUUCAUGGAGAUCGGCCAAACAUCAACCUUAUUUUUUAACUCUUUGUCUGAAAAAUAUUAUGAAUAAACAAUUCAAAAUACAACUUUCAACAACGGAUCUCUUGGCUCUCGCAUCGAUGAAGAACGCAGCGAAAUGCGAUACGUAAUGUGAAUUGCAGAAUUCAGUGAAUCAUCGAAUCUUUGAACGCAUAUUGCGCUCUUUGGUAUUCCGAAGAGCAUGCUUGUUUGAGUAUCAGUAAACACCUCAAAGCUUUUGGAUUUUUUUUGAAAGCUUUGGACUUGAGCAAUCCCAACGCCAAUCUUUUUCAGAUCGGCGGCGGGUUGCUUGAAAUGCAGGUGCAGCUGGACUUUCUCCUGAGCUAAAAGCAUAUUCAUUUAGUCCCGUCAAACGGAUUAUUACUUMUGCUGCAGCUAACAUAAAGGGAGUUUGACCGUAUUGGCUGACUGAUGCAGGAUUUUACAAGGGUCGGCAACGAUUCUUGUUAAACUCGAUCUCAAAUCAAGUAAGACUACCCGCUGAACUUAAGCAUAUCAAUAAGCGGAGGA
rnacentral:rRNA from 1 species